rnacentral:lncRNA from 1 species
UUCCCUAUCUUGAAAUGGUUCCCUAGCUGGUUCCGACAUUGGUUCCUGAUAUGGGGAUCACACACUCAAAUAUUACCAGAUGAAUUUCGAGCCUUUCAAGAAAAAUUUGCCAUUCAUAAUACAUGCACUCCCCAAGAUAAUUAUCACUUAUACUUUAUAGCUAUCUAUCAAAUCCCAUGGAUUCUAAAAUGGGAUUACACUCUUUCUGAAAAUAAUACCAAUAAUUUUGAAUAUGUCCCUCGCCUUGGUAAAAUCAUCAAAAUCAAAUGGUGGAAUAUUUACAGUACUAAACCCUCCUCUUUGAUACUCAAACGC